AUUGAACGCUGGCGGCAUGCUUUACACAUGCAAGUCGAACGGUAACAGGGUGCUUGCACCGCUGACGAGUGGCGAACGGGUGAGUAAUGCGUCGGAACGUGCCGAGUAGUGGGGGAUAACGCAGCGAAAGUUGUGCUAAUACCGCAUACGUACUGAGGUAGAAAGUGGGGGACCUUCGGGCCUCACGCUAUUCGAGCGGCCGACGUCUGAUUAGCUAGUAGGUGAGGUAAAGGCUCACCUAGGCGACGAUCAGUAGCGGGUCUGAGAGGAUGGUCCGCCACACUGGGACUGAGACACGGCCCAGACUCCUACGGGAGGCAGCAGUGGGGAAUUUUGGAAAAUGGGCGAAAGCCUGAUCCAGCCAUGCCGCGUGUCUGAAGAAGGCCUUUUGGUUGUAAAGCACUUUAAGCGAGGAGGAGGCUACUAGUACUAAUACUACUGGAUAGUGGACGUUACUCGCAGAAUAAGCACCGGCUAACUCUGUGCCAGCAGCCGCAGUAA
rnacentral:rRNA from 1 species